CGCCGAGCGGCCGAGUUCAUCGAUGGCGGGGCUGCCUUUAUGGCGAGCUGUGCGUUCUCCCCGUGUGUAGUUCAGGUCUGAAGGGCCUGGAGAGGAAGCUCCAGUGGCCGCACAAACCCAGCCCUUGGGCUGCUUUUCACCUGGAUUGCCUCUGCCUGCUCUGCCAGCAGGCUGUGCACGGCUGCAGACACUACCUGCGUUCAGCGUGCCUGGGCUGAUGCUCCUGUGUAUCCCACAGGGAUGAGCUUCACUCCCCAAAACCUUUAAUGCAAAGCAGGAUUUUACUCGACGUUCUUCUAGUUUCGUGUCCCGUCCUUCAAAGUCAGUGUAACUGACCAGAAAGCAAAGAUACCCAGCGUUUCUCAGGCGGCACAAAGCACUUGGGGACAGUCAGACCUGAUGGAAGCUCAUGCUGAGCAAUCACAAGAGCUACGAUUUGGGGAUGUGGAUGGAGGGAGCGCGGUUUUGGUCUGGGCUCCGGUAUGGGGAAAGGAAGCUCGCUGUCACUGGAGGCCUGGAAUAGCAGUCAAAAGGAGAGAGAAAUCUGUCAACUGGUUUCUGGAGCAGCACUUCCAAGGUAUUUUCUAAGUACUGGAUUUCAGUCUGAGGACUUGUCUGGCCUAGUAUAAAGCAGG
rnacentral:lncRNA from 1 species